rnacentral:lncRNA from 1 species
UGAUGAUAAAUGAUGUAAAAAAAAGAAUGUAAUGUGUAUUUUGAGGUAAAUGUGAUGUAUGAAAUGAAAUGUAAGGAAUUUGAAAAUGAACAAGAUGAAUGCAAUGUAUAUGAUCAAAAAUGAAUUAUAGUACUUAUAAAUGUUUAGUUUUCCUUUCUUUCACUAAUGGCUAUUGCUUACCCUCGUGUAAGCCGUUUGUGUAUGUUUCCGCUAGUGCAUUUCUUGUUUGAAUUUGUACACGUGAUGAGCCUU